CCUACGGGAGGCAGCAGUAGGGAAUCUUCCGCAAUGGACGAAAGUCUGACGGAGCAACGCCGCGUGAGCGAAGAAGGUCUUCGGAUUGUAAAGCUCUGUUGUUAGGGAAGAACAAGUACCGUUCGAAGAGGGCGGUACCGUGACGGUACCUAACGAGAAAGCCACGGCUAACUACGUGCCAGCAGCCGCGGUAAUACGUAGGUGGCAAGCGUUGUCCGGAAUUAUUGGGCGUAAAGCGCGCGCAGGCGGUUCCUUAAGUCUGAUGUGAAAGCCCACGGCUCAACCGUGGAGGGUCAUUGGAAACUGGGGGACUUGAGUGCAGAAGAGGAGAGCGGAAUUCCACGUGUAGCGGUGAAAUGCGUAGAGAUGUGGAGGAACACCAGUGGCGAAGGCGGCUCUCUGGUCUGUAACUGACGCUGAGGCGCAAAGCGUGGGGAGCAAACAGGAUUAGAUACCCUGGUAGUCCACGCCCGUAAACGAUGAGUGCUAAGUGUUAGUGGGGUAUCACCCUUUAGUGCUGUACUAACGCAUUAAGCACUCCGCCUGGGGAGUACGCUCGCAANAAUUGAAACUCAAAGGAAUUGACGGGG
rnacentral:rRNA from 1 species